UGGGGAAUUUUGGACAAUGGGCGCAAGCCUGAUCCAGCCAUGCCGCGUGCGGGAAGAGGGCCUUCGGGUUGUAAACCGCUUUUGUCAGGGAAGAAAUCCUUUGAGCUAAUACCUCGGGGGGAUGACGGUACCUGAAGAAUAAGCACCGGCUAACUACGUGCCAGCAGCCGCGGUAAUACGUAGGGUGCAAGCGUUAAUCGGAAUUACUGGGCGUAAAGCGUGCGCAGGCGGUUUAGUAAGACAGGCGUGAAAUCCCCGGGCUCAACCUGGGAACUGCGCUUGUGACUGCUAAGCUAGGGUACGGCAGAGGGGGGUGGAAUUCCACGUGUAGCAGUGAAAUGCGUAGAUAUGCGGAGGAACACCGAUGGCGAAGGCAAUCCCCUGGACCUGUACUGACGCUCAUGCACGAAAGCGUGGGGAGCAAACA
rnacentral:rRNA from 1 species